UGGGGAAUAUUGCACAAUGGGCGCAAGCCUGAUGCAGCAACGCCGCGUGAGGGACGACGGCCUUCGGGUUGUAAACCUCUUUUAGUAGGGAAGAAGCGAAAGUGACGGUACCUGCAGAAAAACGCACCGGCUAACUACGUGCCAGCAGCCGCGGUAAUACGUAGGGUGCGAGCGUUGUCCGGAAUUAUUGGGCGUAAAGAGCUCGUAGGCGGUCUGUCGCGUCUGCUGUGAAAACCCGAGGCUCAACCUCGGGCCUGCAGUGGGUACGGGCAGACUAGAGUGCGGUAGGGGAGAAUGGAAUUCCUGGUGUAGCGGUGGAAUGCGCAGAUAUCAGGAGGAACACCGAUGGCGAAGGCAGUUCUCUGGGCCGUAACUGACGCUGAGGAGCGAAAGCGUGGGGAGCGAACAGGAUUAGAUACCCUGGUAGUCCACGCCGUAAACGUUGGGCGCUAGAUGUGGGGCACCAUUCCACGGUUUCCGUGUCGCAGCUAACGCAUU
rnacentral:rRNA from 1 species